GGAAAGAUGAAUCAAAGAAGGUAAUAAUCCUGUAGUCGAAAAUGUUGUCUCUCUUGAGUGGAUCCUGAGUACGACGGAGCACGUGAAAUUCCGUCGGAAUCUGGGAGGACCAUCUCCUAAGGCUAAAUACUCUCUAGUGACCGAUAGUGAACCAGUACCGUGAGGGAAAGGUGAAAAGCACCCCGGAAGGGGAGUGAAAUAGAACCUGAAACCGUGUGCUUACAAGUAGUCAGAGCCCGUUAAUGGGUGAUGGCGUGCCUUUUGUAGAAUGAACCGGCGAGUUACGAUUUGAUGCAAGGUUAAGCAGUAAAUGUGGAGCCGUAGCGAAAGCGAGUCUGAAUAGGGCGUUUAGUAUUUGGUCGUAGACCCGAAACCAGGUGAUCUACCCUUGGUCAGGUUGAAGUUCAGGUAACACUGAAUGGAGGACCGAACCGACUUACGUUGAAAAGUGAGCGGAUGAACUGAGGGUAGCGGAGAAAUUCCAAUCGAACCUGGAGAUAGCUGGUUCUCUCCGAAAUAGCUUUAGGGCUAGCCUCAAGUGAUGAUUAUUGGAGGUAGAGCACUGUUUGGACGAGGGGCCCCUCUCGGGUUACCGAAUUCAGACAAACUCCGAAUGCCAAUUAAUUUAACUUGGGAGUCAGAACAUGGGUGAUAAGGUCCGUGUUCGAAAGGGAAACAGCCCAGACCACCAGCUAAGGUCCCAAAAUAUAUGUUAAGUGGAAAAGGAUGUGGCGUUGCCCAGACAACUAGGAUGUUGGCUUAGAAGCAGCCAUCAUUUAAAGAGUGCGUAAUAGCUCACUAGUCGAGUGACACUGCGCCGAAAAUGUACCGGGGCUAAACAUAUUACCGAAGCUGUGGAUUGUCCUUUGGACAAUGGUAGGAGAGCGUUCUAAGGGCGUUGAAGCAUGAUCGUAAGGACAUGUGGAGCGCUUAGAAGUGAGAAUGCCGGUGUGAGUAGCGAAAGACGGGUGAGAAUCCCGUCCACCGAUUGACUAAGGUUUCCAGAGGAAGGCUCGUCCGCUCUGGGUUAGUCGGGUCCUAAGCUGAGGCCGACAGGCGUAGGCGAUGGAUAACAGGUUGAUAUUCCUGUACCACCUAUA
rnacentral:rRNA from 1 species